rnacentral:rRNA from 1 species
UACGGAGGGGGCUAGCGUUGUUCGGAAUUACUGGGCGUAAAGCGCACGUAGGCGGACUGUUAAGUCGGGGGUGAAAUCCUGGGGCUCAACCUCAGAAUUGCCUCCGAUACUGGCAGUCUCGAGUGCGGGAGAGGUGAGUGGAAUUCCCAGUGUAGAGGUGAAAUUCGUAGAUAUUGGGAAGAACACCAGUGGCGAAGGCGGCUCACUGGCCCGUAACUGACGCUGAGGUGCGAAAGCUAGGGGAGCGAACAGG